rnacentral:rRNA from 1 species
CAGUCGCCGCGGUAAUACGUAGGGUGCGAGCGUUAAUCGGAAUUACUGGGCGUAAAGCGUGCGCAGGCGGUUCGCUAAGACAGAUGUGAAAUCCCCGGGCUUAACCUGGGAACUGCAUUUGUGACUGGCGAGCUAGAGUAUGGCAGAGGGGGGUAGAAUUCCACGUGUAGCAGUGAAAUGCGUAGAGAUGUGGAGGAAUACCGAUGGCGAAGGCAGCCCCCUGGGCCAAUACUGACGCUCAUGCACGAAAGCGUGGGGAGCAAACAGGAUUAGAUACCCCCGUAGUCCCUGUCUCUUAUAC